rnacentral:lncRNA from 1 species
ACUGGGAUUACAAGGUGUGCGCCACCACGCCCGGCUAACUUUUGUGUUUUUAGUAGAGACAGGGUUUCGCCAUGUUGGCCCAGCUGGUCUCGAACUCUUGACCUCAAAUGAUCCACCCACCUUGGCCUCCCAGAGUGCUGGGAUUGCAGGAGUGAGCCACCGCACCCUGCUUAUUUAUUAAUUUAUUUGUCCAAUAUUUAUCAAUCUCCUACCAUGCCCAAGGCACCUUAGAGGGCACCGAGAAUACAACAGCAAACACGACACAGUCCCUGCCCUCGGUCACUUCAAGAGCUGGAGGGAGAGGGGAGUGAGUGAAAACAGUGCACUGAGAUGGAAGAUGGGAGGGGCAAUCGGGGGUGCUUCACAGAGGAGGAGGCAUGUUGGUAACGUGGUAACGUGGAACGUUGGUAACGUUCCGUGAUAACGUGGAAAGUUGGUAACGUUCCGUGAAGUCUGCAUCUUCAAAUGCCCCUAGCUCUGUCUAGGCUGAUGAGACGGGAGAAUGGCCAGGCCUGAGAAGUGGCUUAUGGUUGGAGGGGAGUCAGAAAGGGAAGGAUGAUUUCUCAGAAGGAAUGAGAGGAGCGCAGCCCCCUUGGUGAUCCCCACUUCCUGGGGAACGGGCCUUUUCCUGGCAGUGCUGUGCUGCGGCCCCGCGGGCCAAAUGCGGGUAGACAUGCUGCCCUCCCGCGCGUGGCCGGGAAAAGGGCAGGGCACUGUUCCUUCCCUGUGCCCCUCCCCUCUGCCAUCAGUCUCCACUUCUCUAUUUACCUCCCUGCCCUCUCGCCCCUAAACCUCCUUUCUCUCCCCAUCUGGCUUCCCUCUCCAUCCGUCAGUGAGCUGUGAUUGCGCUGCACUCCAGCCUGGGCGACAGAGUGAGACUUUGUCUCUAAAAAAGAAGAAGAAAAAAAAAAAAAAACGAAUGAUGAAGGAAAGUGACAAGAUUUCCAUUUCCAGAAACCCAAGUCUUGACGUUAUCCACACGGAAGAUGUCGCUCAGAAUACACUUUUCUUGGAGAAGGACGGCCCUGCAACUGCAUUCAAUUCAGUUUCUUGCCUGAGGAGGGUGAAAAAACAAGGAGGGUCUCAAGAACUGAGCGCAGCUGUGAGGAGCAGCUCACAAGGAAGGAGCUUCUCACUCAAUUAUGGAGGAUUCCUGGUUGCAGCAACGUUUCAGCAGCUCCGCUGGGUACUUGCAACUUUGCCCAUUUGCUCAGGGAUUGUGAAUUCUCCUUGUGACACCUCUCUCAACAUUAUGAGGUCUGAAAAGCAACCUUGAAAAGAAGAAGACACUGGAGACCUCUCAAAGGUGGGGCAGGUCCAGUGUGUGUCUGUAAUAGACUCUAUGAAGAUACCCAUUUCCCUACAAUCAAAAUUAAGUGCAGAAAAUACGAUUUCUCUGCAUUUACAUUUCAUCUGCACAGAGUCACAGGCUACUUUUCAUUUAAAAGCUAUUGUGACAUAAAUAUGAUUUCUUCCAUUGUUAUGAUAAAAUAAUUUGAAUGUUGAGCCUUAAGUUCCAAGUUCAAAUUGUUGUUUAUGGUUGUUCCUAUUAGUGGAGUAUGUGAAGAUUGGCCAAAUUUCUAGAGGCUGUUGGGAAAACCUGCUGAUGAGAGUUUUUUAUUUGCAAGAAAGGAAAAAAACCCACUAGUGUUAAAGUGCACUUUCUAAUUAGCCAGUCUUGGCCAGGCGUGUACUGGCAAAACUGAUUCGGUGAAAUCUUGAAUGUGACAUUCAGGUCCUUCAGCUCCAUGAUGGGUUUAUUUAUUCAAAAUGGCAGACUCAUAUUCAAGUUUUGUUUCUGUUGUUGCUUAAAUUUAUAUGAGUAGUAGUAUAUUAGUCCGUUCUCACACUGCUAAUAAAGAUAUACCCAAGACUGGGUAAAGGAAAGAGGCUUAAUUGACUCACAGUUCAGCAUGGCUGAGGAGGCCUCAGGAAACUUACAAUCAUGGUGGAAGGGGAAGCAAACAUGCCCGUCUUCAAAUGGCAGCAGCAAGGAGAAGUGCCGAGCAAAAGGAGGAAAAGCUCGUUAUAAAACCAUCAGAUCUUGUGAGAACCCACUCAGUGUCAUGAGAACAGCAUGAGGGUAACCUCACCUGUGAUUAAAUUACCUCCUAUUGGGUUCCUCCCACAACACGUGGGCAUUACGACAACUGCAAUUCAAGAUGAGAUUUGGCUGGGGACACAGUCAAACCAUAUCACGUAGUGUGACUUGAAGCCAUCCCAAAUUUCUGUGAUGAUUAAGAAAGGCAACAUAGGAAUCUGUCCCCAGCAAUAGAGAAUUAAUGAGAUGACUAAGUAAUAAAAAUUACACCACUGAUGUUAAGGAGAUAUUUAAUUGUGUUACACUGAAAUUUAAAAU